rnacentral:rRNA from 1 species
AAAUUUCCCGCGUGCUUACCUGCAGUCGAGCGGUAAGGCCCUUCGGGGUACACGAGCGGCGAACUGAGUAACACGUGAGCAACCUGCCCCUGACUCCGGGAUAAGCGGUGGAAACGCCGUCUAAUACCGGAUACGCCGCCACCUCAUGGUGGAGGGUGGAAAGUUUUAUCGGUCAGGGAUGGGCUCGCGGCCUAUCAGCUUGUUGGUGGGGUAAAGGCCUACCAAGGCGAUUACGGGUAGCCGGCCUGAGAGGGCGACCGGCCACACUGGGACUGAGACACGGCCCAGACUCCUGCGGGAGGCAGCAGUGGGGAAUAUUGCACAAUGGGCGAAAGCCUGAUGCAGCGACGCCGCGUGGGGGAUGAAGGCCUUCGGGUUGUAAACCUCUUUUACCACCAACGCAGGCUCCACGUUCUCGUGGGGUUGACGGUAGGUGGGGAAUAAGGACCGGCUAACUACGUGCCAGCAGCCGCGGUAAUACGUAGGGUCCGAGCGUUGUCCGGAAUUAUUGGGCGUAAAGAGCUCGUAGGCGGCAUGUCGCGUCUGCUGUGAAAGACCGGGGCUUAACUCCGGUUCUGCAGUGGAUACGGGCAUGCUAGAGGUAGGUAGGGGAAACUGGAAUUCCUGGUGUAGCGGUGAAAUGCGCAGAUAUCAGGAGGAACACCGGUGGCGAAGGCGGGUUUCUGGGCCUUACCUGACGCUGAGGAGCGAAAGCAUGGGGAGCGAACAGGAUUAGAUACCCUGGUAGUCCAUGCCGUAAACGUUGGGCGCUAGGUGUGGGGACUUUCCACGGUUUCCGCGCCGUAGCUAACGCAUUAAGCGCCCCGCCUGGGGAGUACGGCCGCAAGGCUAAAACUCAAAGGAAUUGACGGGGGCCCGCACAAGCGGCGGAGCAUGUUGCUUAAUUCGACGCAACGCGAAGAACCUUACCAAGGUUUGACAUCACCCGUGGACCUGUAGAGAUACAGGGUCAUUUAGUUGGUGGGUGACAGGUGGUGCAUGGCUGUCGUCAGCUCGUGUCGUGAGAUGUUGGGUUAAGUCCCGCAACGCAACCCUUGUUCCAUGUUGCCAGCACGUAAUGGUGGGGACUCAUGGGAGACUGCCGGGGUCAACUCGGAGGAAGGUGGGGACGACGUCAAGUCAUCAUGCCCCUUAUGUCUUGGGCUGCAAACAUGCUACAAUGGCCGGUACAAUGGGCGUGCGAUACCGUAAGGUGGAGCGAAUCCCUUAAAGCCGGUCUCAGUUCGGAUUGGGGUCUGCAACUCGACCCCAUGAAGGUGGAGUCGCUAGUAAUCGCGGAUCAGCAACGCCGCGGUGAAUACGUUCCCGGGCCUUGUACACACCGCCCGUCACGUCAUGAAAGUCGGCAACACCCGAAACUUGUGGCCUAACCCUUCGGGGAGGGAAUGAGUGAAGGUGGGGCUGGCGAUUGGGACGAAGUCG